UACGGGGGGAGCAAGCGUUGUUCGGAUUUACUGGGCGUAAAGGGCGCGUAGGCGGUCAGCACAAGUCAGUUGUGAAAUCUCCGGGCUUAACCCGGAAAGGUCAGCUGAUACUGCAGGGCUAGAGUGCAGAAGGGGCAACUGGAAUUCUCGGUGUAGCGGUGAAAUGCGUAGAUAUCGAGAGGAACACCUGCGGCGAAGGCGGGUUGCUGGGCUGACACUGACGCUGACAGCGCGAAAGCUAGGGGAGCGAACGGG
rnacentral:rRNA from 1 species